ensembl:snRNA U6 U6 spliceosomal RNA
GUGCUUCACCAGCACAUAUACAAAAUUGAAAAGAUACAGAGAAGAUUAGCAGAUCCCUGUGUAAGAAUGACAUGCAAAUUUGUGAAGCAUUCAUUAUUUUU